rnacentral:lncRNA from 1 species
UCAACUUUAGUGAAUGACUGGAGAUCAUACACAUAGUUCUUGGGGACAUUCAGUUUCUGACUCUCCAGAAAUUAUAAAUCUUGAAGAAUACUCAAAAUAUUAUUCAAUGGUGAUGCUAAACACUCUCAAAAGUCUUUGAAACAACUAGAAAAGGACUAAGUUGAUCUAGAUUCACUAUUGCCAAUAGAAAAUCAUCAAGAUAUUUUUCUUCUUUCUCUUGCUUUUGACUUUUAACUUCUUAUGUGGCCCAGGGUGUCCUGCAAAUCUCUCCAUGGCUGAAGUUGACCAUAUUCCAUCUUCCAGGUACUAACAUUACAAUCAUCUAACAUGCCUGGUUUCAUACAGUGGUGGAAAUAAAUCCCAGGGCUUUUGAAUCUGGAAAAGUACUAUACCAACUGAUUGACACCAAGGCCAAUGGCCUUUAAUGGAUGAACAUAAGAUAUAAGUGCCCCACUAUGAUAGAUUUGUUAUAUUCAGGUUUGAUAUAUAUUGUGGUGUCAUUUAUAAAAUGGGCAAAAAUAUCUAGUUAAUAAAACAAAUUUUGGAAUGAUCAACUGGGAAUCAGCCCACAAGUGAAAUAGGACUGCAAGUUAGACAGAAUACUAAAUAUUUUCUAUGGUCUUUGAAAUUAUAUGGGGAAAAGUCUUUUGCAGAUGCGAUUAAAUAAAAUGUUAAUUAAUUGACCCAAAGAUAGAUUAUUCAGUGAGUUUACUGAAAUUAGUUCAGUCCCUCAAAAGAAAAGACCUUUGAUUUAAAAAGAAGCCAGAGAUUUCAGGUAUGAGAGGGAUUUUACCCAAACAAGACACUUCCCUUUUGAGAUGGCUAAAUAUAUGCAAGGAUCUGAGAGUGGGCACAGACCCUCUAUGUCCCUUGGAAGGUGGCUAGAGAGAAGGCAGGAAAAUUAAUCCCAUCUUCACAAGGAGCAAAGGUCUACUAACAAUCUAGAGACCACUGAAAGAGGACUCUUCCCUUAAAGUUUUUGGAUAAUAGGUUGCUAGCUGAUACCUGCAGCCUUGUUAUACUAAGGAGGGAAUCUAUGAACAUCAUUACACUGUGUUUGAUGAUCAGAACAAUGAGAUUAAACAUUGUAGGUUUAAGCCAUUAUAGCUGUCUCUUGUGAGAAUAGGCCGGGGCCUAGCAAACACAGAAGUGGAUGCUCACAGUCAACUAUUGGAUGGAUCACA